CGUAGGGACCGAGCGUUGUCCGGAUUCAUUGGGCGUAAAGAGCUCGUAGGCGGCUGCUCAAGUCGAAUGUGAAAACUCGAGGCUCAACCUCGAGCCUGCAUUCGAUACUGGGCGGCUAGAGUCUGGUAGGGGGAUCUGGAAUUCCUGGUGUAGCGGUGGAAUGCGCAGAUAUCAGGAGGAACACCGGUGGCGAAGGCGGGAUCCUGGGCCAGUACUGACGCUGAGGAGCGAAAGCGUGGGGAGCAAACAGGAUUAGAUACCCUGGUAGUCCACGCCGUAAACGAUGGGCGCUAGGUGUGGGAGGUCAUCGACUCCUUCCGUGCCGCAGCUAACGCAUUAAGCGCCCCGCUGGGGAUACGGCCGCAAGGCUA
rnacentral:rRNA from 1 species